rnacentral:pre_miRNA from 1 species
CUCCCGUGACCUACCCUGUAGUUCCGGGCUUUUGUUUAAAUGGCGUUCGGCGCAUUGUCGGAUUGCUGGCUCGAUUAUCAGAAGCUCGUCUCUACAGGUAUCUCACAGGGUAGA